GUGAAAAGUGUCAUGUAUCUAAUAUUUCAUUGGGCGGGCAAUAAGAAGCAUUCUGAUUUCAACAGCACAAAGCUGUGAUGUAGAAAUGUGCAGGCAUCAAAAGCUUAGUACAAUGUCCAAACUGAAAAUUGACUUAUUGGAAGCCAACUAAAACAUAGCUCUGGGAUAAAAAGAAGCAAUGGAUUUAACAAAAUCCUAAAUGACAUCAUGAAGCACAGCAUAUAUUCCGAUAACAGCAAUAAGAAUCAAAUGUUUGGUUUAUUUGCACUCCGAAAAUGUAAUUAGCUCAUCUCUCAAACUAGCAAUUGGCUUGGAAUCAUGUAUAUGAUGAAUUGGAAAAAUUUCCCUUCAUGAAAAACUAUUGACCAGCCAAACUUACAUGCUGCUUGACUCUGCGAACACAAUCAUAAUAGCUCCUAGUCAGAGGGGCACAUUUCAGUAUAUCAUUACCAUGCUCCUUGUAACAAUCCCGACAAGCUUCAUAAUCGGCCAAACAGGGCAUAGGCUUCUGAUACGGAAGCUUGAACUCCUUAUCACGAAGAUCCUUGGCUCUUUCAGUUACUUCUUGCACCAUGCUAUCCUCCUGCUUCUGCAACUUUUCCAGAAUCCUUUCACUUUCUUGAAUGACAGAUCUAAUUGCAUCUAACUCUGUGUUCGC
rnacentral:misc_RNA from 1 species